CACAAGCUUUCCGUAGGUGAACCUGCGGAAGGAUCAUUAAGAAUUAUAAAUAUUUGUGAAAUUUACACAGCAAACAAUAAUUUUAUAGUCAAAACAAAAAUAAUCAAAACUUUUAACAAUGGAUCUCUUGGUUCUCGUAUCGAUGAAGAACGCAGCGAAACGCGAUAUUUCUUGUGAAUUGCAGAAGUGAAUCAUCAGUUUUUGAACGCACAUUGCACUUUGGGGUAUCCCCCAAAGUAUACUUGUUUGAGCGUUGUUUCUCUCUUGGAAUUGCAUUGCUUUUCUAAAAUUUCGAAUCAAAUUCGUUUGAAAAACAACACUAUUCAACCUCAGAUCAAGUAGGAUUACCCGCUGAACUUAAGCAUAUCAAUAAGCGGAGGAGGAUCCGUGUAAUCGUCGACUCAGGACAACCG
rnacentral:rRNA from 1 species